GAAUUCACUAGUGAUUUCUGGUUGAUCCUGCCAGACCCGACUGCUAUCAGAGUGGGACUAAGCCAUGCGAGUCAACGUAGCAAUGCGUGGCGAACGGCUCAGUAACACGUAGUCAACAUGCCCAGGGGACGUGGAUAACCUCGGGAAACUGAGAUUAAACCGCGAUAGGUCAAGAUUUCUGGAAUGGAUCCUGGCUUAAAUCUACAUGGCCCCUGGAUUGGACUGCGGCCGAUCAGGCUGUUGGUGAGGUAAUGGCCCACCAAACCUAUAACCGGUACGGGCUCUGAGAGGAGAAGCCCGGAGAUGGGCACUGAGACAAGGGCCCAGGCCCUAUGGGGCGCAGCAGGCGCGAAAACUCUGCAAUGGGCGAAAGCCUGACAGGGUUACUCUGAGUGAUUUCCGCUAAGGAGAUCUUUUGGCAGCUCUAAAAAUGGUGCAGAAUAAGGGGUGGGCAAGUCUGGUGUCAGCCGCCGCGGUAAUACCAGCACCCCGAGUGGUCGGGACGAUUAUUGGGCCUAAAGCAUCCGUAGCCGGUUGUGCAAGUCCUCCGUUAAAUCCAGCCGCUCAACGGAUGGGCUGCGGAGGAUACUACAGGACUAGGAGGCGGGAGAGGCAAGCGGUACUUAGUGGGUAGGGGUAAAAUCCUUUGAUCCAUUGAAGACCACCAGUGGCGAAGGCGACUUGCCAGAACGCGCUCGACGGUGAGGGAUGAAAGCUGGGGGAGCAAACCGGAUUAGAUACCCGGGUAGUCCCAGCUGUAAACGAUGCAGACUCGGUGAUGGGCUAGCCUCGUGUCAGCCCAGUGCCGCAGGGAAGCCGUUAAGUCUGCCGCCUGGGGAGUACGGUCGCAAGACUGAAACUUAAAGGAAUUGGCGGGGGAGCACCACAAGGGGUGAAGCCCGCGGUUCAAUUGGACUCAACGCCGGGAAUCGAAUUCCCGCGGCC
rnacentral:rRNA from 1 species